AACGUAGGAGGCGAGCGUUAUCCGGAGUUACUGGGCGUAAAGCGCGCGCAGGCGGUUGAGUAAGUGACUUGUGAAAAUGCCCGGCUCAACUGGGCGAGGUCAGGUCAGACUGCUUGGCUGGAGGGUGGUAGAGGAGCGCGGAAUUCGGGGUGUAGCGGUGAAAUGUGUAGAGAUCCCGAGGAACACCAGUGGUGAAAACGGCGCUCUGGGCCACUACUGACGCUGAGGCGCGAAAGCGUGGGGAGCGAACGGG
rnacentral:rRNA from 1 species